rnacentral:lncRNA from 10 species
UCACUCUUCAAGGCUUCCUUUCUGAUGAGAGCAGCAGAGAUGGGGCCAACCAGUUGCAGAGAGGAGCCACGCUCUCUAGGGUCUCCUCUAUGCUGAGAGCUGAACACUCACUGAAGUGACCCGCCAGCAGAGAGGAGCCACCCACUCCACCCACUCCAGGCCUCCUCUCUGCUGAGAGCUGAAUACUGGAUGGGACAACCUGCCUACAGAGAGGAGCUACUCACUGUUGGUCUCCUCUGAGCUGUUCUAAUACUCACCAGGCAUGACCAUGUAACAGUUUGGGCUGCUGAGCCAGAAGGGAAAGAGUACUACUGCUAGACUUCCAGGAAGGCUGCUCUAAGAAAGAUGACUCAGAGGUUGCACUUUUUUAGUUUUGGGGGUUUUUUUCCCUCUACUUCCUGCUUCUUGGAACUAGGACAUGAUGUCUGGAACUCUAGCAGCCAUUUUGGACCAUGAGGUGAUUGUGCGACUAGAAGACACAUCGUAGAAUGGAGCACCAAGACGAAAGCCCCCAAAGCUGCCCUAUAAGACCUGGACUUCAAACCAGCAAACUUCUUCCAUGUGAGAGAGAAAUAAGCUUAGGUUUUGUUUCUGCCAGUGUUAUCUUUGUUUUCGGUUAUGAGCCACUAAAUGUGAUCCCACUUGUUACCCCAGUCAUUCUCCCAACUUCCUAGACCCAUUAAUAGCAUUCUACACUCACAGUCCAUCAGUGGUGCAAGACUACAACACGAUUUUAAAUCCAAAAGUGAUAUAAAUGAUUUUGUGAUUCUGUGCUGCUGAGAUAUGUGCUUUUUUCAACUUGCAAAAUAUACUAUUGAAAUCUAUAGUUAAAAAAAAAAGA